rnacentral:rRNA from 1 species
GAUCUUUAUUUUUAUUUUUUGUAAAUUAAAAAGAAUAAAAAUUUUUAUAAAUAAAUUAAAAAUUUUACUGGGGUGGUAUUAAAAUUUAAUAAACUUUUAAAAUUAUUUUACAUAAAUAUAUGAAUAAUUGAUCCAAUUUUAUUGAUUAAAAAAUUAAGUUACCUUAGGGAUAACAGCGUAAUUUUUUUUUAGAGUUCAUAUCGACAAAAAAGAUUGC